UACGUAGGGUCCGAGCGUUGUCCGGAGUGACUGGGCGUAAAGCGCGCGCAGGCGGCCGUGUAGGCACGACGUGAAAGCCCCGGGCUCAACCCGGGAGGGUCGUCGUGAACCGCAGGGCUUGAGGCCGGUAGAGGUGGGUGGAACUCCUGGUGGAGUGGUGAAAUGCGUAGAGAUCAGGAAGAACACCCGUGGCGAAGGCGGCCCACUGGGCCGGUACUGACGCUGAGGCGCGAAGGCGUGGGGAGCGAACAGG
rnacentral:rRNA from 1 species